GAUGAACGCUGGCGGCGUGCCUAAUACAUGCAAGUCGAGCGAACAGACGAGGAGCUUGCUCCUCUGAUGUUAGCGGCGGACGGGUGAGUAACACGUGGAUAACCUACCUAUAAGACUGGGAUAACUUCGUGAAACCGGAUCUAAUACCGGAUUAUAUUUUGAACCGCAUUGUUCAAGAGUGAAAGACGGUUUUGCUGUCACUUAUAGAUGUAUCCGCGCUGCAUUAGCUAGUUGGUAAGGUAACGGCUUACCAAGGCAACGAUGCAUAGCCGACCUGAGAGGGUGAUCGGCCACACUAGAACUGAGACGCGGUCCAGACUACUGCGGGAGGCAGCAGUAGGGAAUCGUCCGCAAUGGGCGAAAGCCUGACGGAGCAACGCCGCGUGAGUGAUGAAGGUCUUCGGAUCGUAAAACUCUGUUAUUAGGGAAGAACAAAUGUGUAAGUAACUAUGCACAUCUUGACGGUACCUAAUCAGAAAGCCACGGCUAACUACGUG
rnacentral:rRNA from 1 species